GAUGAACGCUGGCGGCGUGCCUAAUACAUGCAAGUCGAGCGGUAAGGCUUCUUCGGAAGUACACGAGCGGCGGACGGCUGAGUAAUGCAUAGGAACGUACCCCAAACUGAGGGAUAAGCUACCGAAAGGUGGUCUAAUACCGCAUGUGCUCUUCGGAGUAAAGCUACGGCGGUUUGGGAGCGGCCUAUGUUCGAUUAGCUUGUUGGUGAGGUAAUGGCUCACCAAGGCGACGAUCGAUAGCGGGUCUGAGAGGAUGAUCCGCCAGACUGGAACUGAGACACGGUCCAGACUCCUACGGGAGGCAGCAGUAGGGAAUUUUCCACAAUGGGGGCAACCCUGAUGGAGCAACGCCGCGUGCAGGAUGAAGGCCUUCGGGUUGUAAACUGCUUUUUUCUGUGAUGAUUAUGACAGUAGCAGAGGAAUAAGGAUCGGCUAACUCCGUGCCAGCCGCCGCGGUAA
rnacentral:rRNA from 1 species